CGGGGCCGCUCCAACAUGGAGGCGGGCGGCGGGCAGCGCCCGGGCCCCGCUGCGCGGAGUACCCAGCUCUGAUAUGCCAGGAAGAGGACUGUGGUGUUCAAGCCCUGUGGUGUUCACGUUAUUCCUCUGUCCUCCUGCCCAGUGUUCAGUGCAGGCCCUUGUAUCGGGCUGGUGGAGCUUAAAACUGAGGAAGAAAAGAAGUGUCGGUGAAGAAUUGCAACCACAUUUCUCUCCCAGAAGAAUAAAUACAUGUGUUUCAGUUGUAUAUACCAGCUUCCAUUGGAACCUUGCUGCAAAAAGGAACGGAUAUCGUUCUGAAUUUCAUGAAAUAGCCAACAAAGAUGCAGACAAUGUGGAUUUUCCUAACGGUGGUGACAAACAACAUUGUUGGAAAGGAAAUCCACAGCCUGCAAUUUGUUACAUUUAUGACACAGACAUAGACAUAGGUGGACUGGGUUGAAAAGGACCACAAUGCUCAUCUAAUUUCAACCCCCUGCUGUGUGCAGGGUCACCAACCAGCAGACCAGGCUGCCCAGAGCCACAUCCAGCCUGGCCUUGAAUGCCUGCAGGGAUGGGGCAUCCACAGCCUCCUUGGGCAGCCUGUGCCAGUGAAUGUAUGUGCACACACAUAUAUAAAUGUGUGUUUUUCUAAACAGUGGCAAAAAUGAAGCAAUUCAGCCACCCAGCCAAGAUGCAGAGAUGCCCAUAGCACUGAAUUCUAACAAGAGGACUGGGGGAAAUAGUCUUGAAUUAAAAGAGGGGAAAUUUAGACUGGAUAUAAGGGACAGUUUUUUUAGGAUAAGGGUAGUGAGGCAUUGCUCAGAGAGGUGGUGGUGCUCCAUCCCUGGAAACACUCAAGAUCAGGCCGGCUGGGGCUCUGAGCACUGAUGGAGCUUUGGCUGUCCCUGUGCACUGCAGGGAAGUUGCACGAGACGGCCUUGAAGGGUCCCUUCCAACUCAAAUGAUUCUAUGAUUCUAAAAGCACACAGCUGCUCCCAUUGCAGUGCUUUACCACAGAGGGAAGCAGCAGGCCUGGCCUCGAGGAAUUUCUGAUCCGUGGUUGUGCCCCAUCUAGUUAGGGGAAAAAUGCUUAAAACUCUGGAGUGCUGUUUCACUCCCAGUGAGCAUAUUCCUGCAGUCAGCACAUGUAAAUGUUUUGCUGUGAAUCUUCAAAUCACUGUAUUUGUUUAUUGCAGAAAAAUGUUGUUCCACA